rnacentral:rRNA from 1 species
AGAGUUUGAUCCUGGCUCAGAUUGAACGCUGGCGGUAUGCUUAACACAUGCAAGUCGAACGGCAGCAUGGUUUGUAGCAAUACAAACUGAUGGCGAGUGGCGGACGGGUGAGAAACGCGUAGGAAUCUGCCUUAUAGAGGGGGACAACUAGAGGAAACUCUAGCUAAUACCGCAUAAUGUCGCGAGACCAAACGCUGGGUUGAAAGACCUGGUGCUAUAAGAGGAGCCUGCGUCCGAUUAGCUAGUUGGUAGGGUAAAGGCCUACCAAGGCGAUGAUCGGUAGCUGGUCUGAGAGGAUGAUCAGCCACACUGGGACUGAGACACGGCCCAGACUCCUACGGGAGGCAGCAGUGGGGAAUAUUGGACAAUGGGGGCAACCCUGAUCCAGCAAUACCGCGUGUGUGAAGAAGGCCUUCGGGUUGUAAA